rnacentral:rRNA from 1 species
AAUGAACGUUGGCGGCAUGGAUUAGGCAUGCAAGUCGAGCGAUAAGAGUUUUGAAGCUUGCUUUAGAACUCGGACAGCGGCGAAAGGGAGAGUAACGCGUAGUUAUGUGCCCUAGGGUCCGGAAUAGCCACGGGAAACUGUGGGUAAUGCCGGAUAAUAUCCCCGGAUCAAAGGUGUGAUUCCGCCCUAGGAGCAGACUGCGUCCUACUAGCUAGUUGGUGGGGUAAUGGCCUACCAAGGCAAUGAUGGGUAGCGGGUGUGAGAGCAUGACCCGUCUCACUGGGACUGAGACACUGCCCAGACACCUACGGGUGGCUGCAGUCGAGAAUCUUCGGCAAUGGGCGAAAGCCUGACCGAGCGAUGCCGCGUGCGGGAUGAAGGCCCUCGGGUUGUAAACCGCUGUCGUAGGGGAGGAAGGUUCCGUGAAGAGCGGAAUUUGACCUAUCCUAGGAGGAAGUACGGGCUAAGUUCGUGCCAGCCGCCGCGGUAACAC